rnacentral:rRNA from 1 species
GAUGAACGCUGGCGGCGUGCCUAAUACAUGCAAGUCGAGCGAACAGACGAGGAGCUUGCUCCUCUGACGUUAGCGGCGGACGGGUGAGUGACACGUGGAUAACCUACCUAUAAGACUGGGAUAACUUCGGGAAACCGGAGCUAAUACCGGAUAAUAUAUUGAACCGCAUGGUUCAAUAGUGAAAGACGGUUUUGCUGUCACUUAUAGAUGGAUCCGCGCCGCAUUAGCUAGUUGGUAAGGUAACGGCUUACCAAGGCGACGAUGCGUAGCCGACCUGAGAGGGUGAUCGGCCACACUGGAACUGAGACACGGUCCAGACUCCUACGGGAGGCAGCAGUAGGGAAUCUUCCGCAAAGGGCGAAAGCCUGACGGAGCAACGCCGCGUGAGUGAUGAAGGUCUUCGGAUCGUAAAACUCUGUUAUUAGGGAAGAACAAAUGUGUAAGUAACUAUGCACGUCUUGACGGUACCUAAUCAGAAGGCCACGGCUAACUACGUG